CAGCCGCCACGGGAAUACGAAGGGGGCUAGCGUUGCUCGGAAUCACUGGGCGUAAAGGGUGCGUAGGCGGGUCUUUAAGUCAGGGGUGAAGUCCUGGAGCUCAACUCCAGAACUGCCUUUGAUACUGAAGAUCUUGAGUAAGGGAGAGGUGAGUGGAACUGCGAGUGUAGAGGUGAAAUUCGUAGAUAUUCGCAAGAACACCAGUGGCGAAGGCGGCUCACUGGCCCAUAACUGACGCUGAGGCACGAAAGCGUGGGGAGCAAACAGGAUUAGAUACCCCUGUAGUCCCUGUCUCUUAUAC
rnacentral:rRNA from 1 species